CAAACUCCUCCUACAGGAGAACAAAGCGGAAAUAUGCGACGUAAGACCUGUCAUUUGCGUGAGGAACGGGACAGAGACCGCUCCACAGUCUCGUCCUACAUCCGCUAGACACGGACUUCAACAAGACCGAUCACAUUCAGAGAGACUUUUAGACCUCUCAUGUGUUGUCCCAGAUGUGUUGCCAAGAGGAAGUGUUUUGCCCCUGUGGCGCUGUACAAGCCUUUGGGGAGCAGGAUGCCUGGGUGAGGAGUAUAUCCCAGUUCCAGACUCACCAGAACGGGGGAAGGGAGCUGGCCAGUCUUAGGGAGUUGGGGCUCUCAGACCUGGAGAUAGAACUGUGGUUCCCCAGGAACCAGCCUUAAAACACUGAGAUGGUGAAUGUUAUUUAUUUAUGCCAUUUACUACCAGGGACAGUACAUUUGGACAGCCGCAUAGAAGGAAGAAUAAGUCAAAAUAGUGAAGAGAAGGUGAUUUGUUGCUCCCCAGACAGUGGGCAAACUGGUUGAAAUGUCUUUACAACCAGAUUGUAAUAAUGUCAUUUUAACUAGUUUUGCCCACUGUUUUUGCCAGCUGCUGGAUAUACUGCUGGAUGUAACGACGAGAUGUUUUAUGAAUAGAGACAAUGUGUGUGGUUGUGGUUAUCAAUUACACCUCCUGAGAAGGAAUAAAUGUUAGUGAUAUUGACUGAUCAACUAUGAGUGUGUUGUCAGACAUGAAAAACAUCCUGGUGGUGUAGCCUGUUGAUUCUUUGACUCAGGCAUCUAUCCAAACUGAAAGAGAUCAGGGUGUAACUUUCCUCAACUCUAUUUACUUCAAUACUCACUGAUAAAAGGAUGCUAUUAUUAUUCCACCUGUAUUACUGGUUGGACUCAUUGAACAGUAUGGUCAAGUAGGCAGCUGUGUGUGUGUGUGUGAUUCAGGGCUGUGGGGUGUGUGCUUCAGGCAGCCACGUUGUGUGUUCUGCCCUACAGGGUCAUGGGGUGGGUGCGUGUGCCCCCGGGGUGCGGCAGCAGCGUCUGCAGGUGAUCCAGGACAAGAUGGCGGCUCGGGCAGAGCUCCACAUUGCUUCUCAGCCAGCUGACCCCUGUCCCGCAGAGAGAUGGUCGAGUAGUCCCUGUUCCAUGGUAAUGACCACCCGGGCUUCCUCACUGCACUCUAUCACCAAGGUGGGGUGAUGUUAUACAAUGCUAAGUGUCUGGUCGUUCACACUGCAACUUCCAUAGACCAAGAGGUUAGAAAGCCUGAACGAGUUAGAACGAAAAGGAGUUUUGUAGGAGUUUGAACAAGUCCUAUGUGUGUUGGAAGUGUCUUUGAAAAGACACAAUAGGAGUUGGGUGCUGGGCUUGAACCGGAAAAUAUAAUAUUUUAAGAUGUUUUAUUAUUAAUGACCUUGGCAUCACUGUUUUUUUUGUGUGUAUGUUGAGUAUUUUGUGCUGUUGGUGACUGUCAUGUAUUGAAAAAAUAAAGUAAAAUGUUUAAAAGAAAUAAAGGAAUUCAGCUGUC